UUCAUACCAGAGUAGAUAUUGCCUGCUGCUUGUGGAAGGGACCAUGCCAGAGAGAUAUUUAGACAGCAGACCAUGGGAGAACCACUCCAGGGCAAAUGGAUAUUCCUGAAGAAAAUGCAGCCCAGGAAGGACCCACAUUGAAGGACUGCACCCUAUGGGGAUCCCAUGCUGAAGCACAGGAAAGGAUUGUAAUGCCUAGGAGUCCUGCUGGAGCCUGAAACCACGUUGUGCUGGAUGAUGCUUGGACACAUAUCAUAAGCAAUUUGAGACAUAGCAAUAUAAAUGGACAAGACAGAGAGUGGGAGGAGAAACAGAGGCACAGAGAUAAGAUGAUGCUGUAGAUCAUUUAGAGUAUCAUCCAUGAGUUGAAGCCAUGCAGGUCUCUAUUGUUCUGCCCACCCAGCUGGGUGAAUGGAGAAUAUCCCAGCUUUGAAAAAAUGCUGUUUCUCCUAAUUCUUUUCCCACAAUUCUGACAUUUAAAUCUUUUUUCCUAGUUGUGACUGGAAAAGUUGAACAUUUUUUAUAUCCAUUCUAAAUCAAAAUAUCAUUUUCAUUGUCACGUUUCUGGGGUUUUUUGACAUUAUCCAUAAUAAUAUCUACCUUACACUGGAAGCAAAAAUGUAGAAUACCAUGAAUUUGCAAAGAUCACAGAAGACUUUAGAGCUUUUGUAGAAAGCUGGAGAAAAAUCCUCAACAGGGGUUCCAAGCAAGAAGAGUCAGAAAAGACCAAAAACUCUCUAAUUUUGUAUUAUGUUAUAAAGCCAGACCAUCGCAGUUUAGGAUAUCCAAGCUGCCUUUCAGAGAGGAUGGAUAAUUUCCAGAAAGGUAAAUGGGCAGGACGAGGACUCAUAACUUCAGAUGAUGACCAGAUAUAUGGACUGAGAAGAUAUUGGACUACCAGCACAAAAGACAAUGCCAAGAAGUUAACCAAUACCCAGCUUCUAUUAAAAGUGCCUAAGACCUGACCUAACACUUGGUGACAAUGUAAGAAAAAACAAACUAUCAAACAAGCUUUGAGAUGCUCACAUACAGGACUCAAAACAGUUAUGGCACGUGGAAGUGCAAAACAGAGGCAUGAAAGUCACAGAGGUACUGAGAAACCUCAGGGAAACCUCCUGCUGGAAAUCAGUGUGGAUGGGUGGAACGAAGUGGUGUUUUGUGUUAGCAAGAAGCAGAGCGUAGAGAGAUGAAAUGUUAUGGCAGGGGCAAAAGAGUGUUUUGGUGCAAACCACUGUCAGGAGCGGUGGCUGGAGAAAGAAAGUCCCACUAGCCUCCUCUGUGCCUCCAGCUCCAGCCUAAUCACCAUUAGUGUCCAUACAGUUAUCAAAUGUGUAAACAUUAAUGGGAAAUAUGUGAGUCUUUAAUGUCUCAAAAAUGAAUUGAAAGAUAAUUACUGAUUAUGUUGGCUCAGAUAUUUUAGGUGAUGGAUUUGUCCACAAAAGUAAAUACAAGACUGUUUCAGACCGAACUCUUGUAUGGGUUAAAAGUAGUAAAAUUUGUAUAAAGUGC